CACGGGGGGAGCAAGCGUUGUUCGGAAUCACUGGGCGUAAAGGGCGUCUAGGCGGUUCGGUAAGUGGAAUGUGAAAUGCCCCGGCUCACCCGGGGAGCUGCAUCCCAAACUGCUGUGCUUGAGUGUGGGAGAGGCGCGUGGAAUUGCAGGUGUAGCGGUGAAAUGCGUAGAUAUCUGCAGGAACACCCGUGGCGAAAGCGGCGCGCUGGACCACUACUGACGCUGAGGAACGAAAGCUAGGGGAGCAAACAGG
rnacentral:rRNA from 1 species